rnacentral:rRNA from 1 species
AGUGAACGCUGGCGGUAGGCCUAACACAUGCAAGUCGAACGGCAGCACAGUAAGAGCUUGCUCUUACGGGUGGCGAGUGGCGGACGGGUGAGGAAUACAUCGGAAUCUACUUUUUCGCGGGGGAUAACGUAGGGAAACUUACGCUAAUACCGCAUACGACCUACGGGUGAAAGCAGGGGAUCUUCGGACCCUGCGCGAUUGAAUGAGCCGAUGUCGGAUUAGCUAGUUGGCGGGGUAGAGGCCCACCAAGGCGACGAUCCGUAGCUGGUCUGAGAGGGUGACAGGCCACGUGGGGAAGGAGAUACGGCCCAGACUGGUACGGGAGGGAGCGGUGGGGAAUAGUGCACAAUGGUCGGAAGCCUGAUGCAGCAACGCCGCGUGCGGGAGGACUGCAUACGGGAGCAAAACAGCUGUCGCCGGUGAAGAAGCGUGAGUGACGGUAAUGGAUAAAGAAGAACCGGCUAACUACGUG